rnacentral:rRNA from 1 species
UGCAGUCGGANGGUAGCAGGUAAGUACUUGUACUUAUGCUGACGAGUGGCGGACGGGUGAGUAAUGCUUGGGAAUCUGUCUUAUGGAGGGGGAUAACGACGGGAAACUGUCGCUAAUACCGCGUAGAAUCGGGAGAUGAAAGUGUGGGACCUUCGGGCCACAUGCCAUAGGAUGAGCCCAAGUGUGAUUAGGUAGUUGGUGGGGUAAAGGCCUACCAAGCCGACGAUCGCUAGCUGGUCUGAGAGGAUGGCCAGCCACACCGGGACUGAGACACGGCCCGGACUCCUACGGGAGGCAGCAGUGGGGAAUAUUGCGCAAUGGGGGCAACCCUGACGCAGCCAUGCCGCGUGAAUGAAGAAGGCCUUCGGGUUGUAAAGUUCUUUCGGUGAUGAGGAAGGUUGGUGUGUUAAUAGCAUGCCAAAUUGACGUUAAAUACAGAAGAAGCACCGGCUAACUCCGUGCCAGCAGCCGCGGUAAUACGGGGGGUGCGAGCGUUAAUCGGAAUAACUGGGCGUAAAGGGCACGUAGGCGGACCUUUAAGUGAGGUGUGAAAUCCCCGGGCUUAACCUGGGAAUUGCAUUUCAUACUGGGGGUCUGGAGUACUUUAGGGAGGGGUAGAAUUCCACGUGUAGCGGUGAAAUGCGUAGAGAUGUGGAGGAAUACCGAAGGCGAAGGCAGCCCCUUGGGGAUGUACUGACGCUGAUGUGCGAAAGCGUGGGGAGCAAACAGGAUUAGAUACCCUGGUAGUCCACGCUGUAAACGGUGUCGAUUUGGGGAUUGGGGUUUAGCCCUGGUGCCCGAAGCUAACGUGAUA